AACGCACGAGACCUGCGGACCUGCGGAAGGAUCAUUAAUGAGAAGCUGCCCCUCGUGGGUAGGCCUCCCACCCUCUGUGAACUUACCUUUGUUGCUUUGGCAGGCCCGUCCUCUGGACCGCCGGCUUCGGCUGGCCCGUGCCUGCCAGAGGAUUCCAAACCCUGUCUGUCAGUGUUGUCUGAGUCUAUAUGAAAUCGUUAAAACUUUUAGCAACGGAUCUCUAGAUCGGAAGAGCACACG
rnacentral:misc_RNA from 1 species